CAAAACUAGUGAGAUGGCAUUCUCCUAUAACCGCCAUUAUGGCUAAUAAUGCCUACAACUUC
rnacentral:ncRNA from 1 species